rnacentral:rRNA from 1 species
UGGGGCCUGCCUUAAUACAUGCAGUCGAGCGAACAGAUAAGGAGCUUGCUCCUUUGACGUUAGCGGCGGACGGGUGAGUAACACGUGGGUAACCUACCUAUAAGACUGGAAUAACUCCGGGAAACCGGGGCUAAUGCUGGAUAAUAUUUAGAACCGCAUGGUUCUAAAGUGAAAGAUGGUUUUGCUAUCACUUAUAGAUGGACCCGCGCCGUAUUAGCUAGUUGGUGGGGUAAUGGCUUACCAAGGCAACGAUACGUAGCCGACCUGAGAGGGUGAUCGGCCACACUGGAACUGAGACACGGUCCAGACUCCUACGGGAGGCAGCAGUAGGGAAUCUUCCGCAAUGGGCGAAAGCCUGACGGAGCAACGCCGCGUGAGUGAUGAAGGUCUUCGGAUCGUAAAACUCUGUUAUUAGGGAAGAACAAAUGUGUAAGUAACUGUGCACGUCUUGACGGUACCUAAUCAGAAAGCCACGGCUAACUACGUGCCAGCAGCCGCGGUAAUACGUAGGUGGCAAGCGUUAUCCGGAAUUAUUGGGCGUAAAGCGCGCGUAGGCGGUUUCUUAAGUCUGAUGUGAAAGCCCACGGCUCAACCGUGGAGGGUCAUUGGAAACUGGGAAACUUGAGUGCAGAAGAGGAAAGUGGAAUUCCAUGUGUAGCGGUGAAAUGCGCAGAGAUAUGGAGGAACACAGUGGCGAAGGCGACUUUCUGGUCUGUAACUGACGCUGAUGUGCGAAGCGUGGGAUCAAAC